GAUGAAGAACGUAGCGAAAUGCGAUAAGUAGUGUGAAUUGCAGAAUUCAGUGAAUCAUCGAAUCUUUGAACGCACAUUGCGCCCUUUGGUAUUCCUUAGGGCAUGCCUGUUCGAGCGUCAUUUAAACUUUCAAGCUAAGCUUGGUGUUGGGUGACUGUCCGCUUCACGGCGGACUCGCCUCAAAAUUAUUGGCGGCCGGUACAUUGGCUUCGAGCGCAGCAGAAACGCGAACUCGGGCCCGUCGUAUUGGCUCCCAGAAGCUAUCUUCACAAUUUUGACCUCGGAUCAGGUAGGGAUACCCGCUGAACUUAAGCAUAUCAAUAAGCGGAGGA
rnacentral:misc_RNA from 1 species